UUUUCUGCCCCAAUGAUCUAAUAACAGGCCUCCAAAAGCAGAGGUUUGUGACGGUUCAACGCUCUCUCUAAUAAAGAGAAUCGCUUCCAAAAUACCACCCACGUUCUACAACAAAUCCCCCACUCUUCAAUCCCCUUUUGAUCUCCAGAACCACAUUGAUGUCGACCCUCUGCCCCCACAUAUCUCGCCUUCCUUCCAACAGCCCUAAUCCUAAUUAACCCUCCGAUUAGUGGUGGAUUUAAGAGAUCUAGGGUGUAAAUUUUAGAUAAGCGUCAAGAACUUGAGACCCUAACGAUGAACAAAAAGCUUUUGGAAUGUGAUGCAGAUCAAAUCGUAGAAGAAUCCAAUGCAGGUUUGAAGUCAACUUCAUUGGUUUUCUUGAAGUUUCGUAUGAAGUUCAUUGCAGCGAUAAAUCGGAGAAUGUGGUGCGAUUUGAGUACCAUGUGAUGUUUUGAGGGCCAUUUGUGCUGCCUUUGAAGAAACAAGGAGCUGUAAGUUUGAAAGAAGAAAGACAACUGAAACAAAACGUUGCCGAUGAUGAAUAUGUUGGUUCUGAGUAUGAAGAAGAAUAACUGCAUGACCAAACACAAGAGGAUCACAUAGAAGCCCUCCUUGACUAGGGUUAUGGAUGCCGGGGGUUGGGUUGAGGUUAUAAGCUGGUGGAGGUAAGAUACAUUUAUGAUUAAUCGGACGUUAAAGAUGAUGGAUGAGAUGGCGUUGAUGUUCUGCCCCGCUCGUGCGUAAUCUUCUUCUCAAUUCCAGAUUUAUUCUUCCACAAAGUCUUCCAAAUUGGACCAACUCACAAUCAUGUCCCCCUCUGGGUCUGGACGACGAAUUUUGGUCCUAGAGAAAAAAGAUGUUCACAAGAGCGUAAUUGACAAAAAUCCGAAAGCUAAUUUGUUAGGUUCUUAUCAAAUUGUGGAUAUGGCUUAAGAUUCUCAUGAAUUACCAAGUAACAAGGAUAAUGUUAAACGACGUGUGUUCAUCAUUUAUGGUCCUUCUAUGUCCAACCAAGCUGUUCUGGCUUUGAAGGUCUUGAAACUUCGAAUUCUUUCAUGGAUCAUUAUUGCAAUAGUGAAUUCAAUGGAGAAAAGUAAUGCCUAAUCGUAUACAUUUUUAUGGGUUUGUUUUGUGUAAUUUUCAUGUUUAGUCUCUUUUUCUUUUCUUCUGCAAUUUAGGUUGCGGGUGGUUACAAUUUUAUGAUUGGAACGGGUAUACAGUUUAAUACUGAGAAGAAGAAAGCGGGGAAAUAUUACUCUACAUUGCUAAACUAAAUUUUUUAGAACUUAUGAAUAAUAUCAUUUGUUCCAUCUUUUCUUUGAGUUCUACAUGAAUAGUUUCCCCUUUUAACUGACAGUCUCAAUAUAAAAGAGUUGCUAAAGAAGAGGUGGCUGAAAGGAAGAUGAGACUUGAGAUGAGACUACUCCUAGAAACAAAGAAGAUGUGGCGGCUGCUAAACGGGUUAAGUUCUCUUCAAACUUUAACAAAAACAGUGACUACAGUGGGAAGCGGCUACAAUGCCACUUGAUGAUCCGACAUUAUCUUUUGUUGGCUUAGCUGAUCAGGUUGCUGCUGUAAAUUCACAACACCCUUAACGCCAUAGACUACAAAAGGAGAAUAGUUAUAGUGUUUCUUUUAACAACAUGUUGGAUGAUUUUGAAGGCACGAAACGAAGUUCUAUUCGCCGGAAAUAGGGUCAACAUUGAAGAGUCGAGCAGGAAAGGCAUCCAACUACGGUGGCAAUGGCAUUAAGUAACAUCCGAUUUCAAUCUGGACGGUGUCCAUUAUGUGGUGACUAUGGUGAGACCAGCGACCAUCUAUUCGUCUCAUGUCGAUUAUCUCAAGUUAUAUGGCAGAUUGUGACUCAAUGGUGUAAAGUUCCUGGAUUUUUUGCUUUUGGGUUGAUAGAUAGACUAGAUCUCAAUGUUUUCAUUCAAGGUUCAAAGAAGAGCAGGAAGUUUUUCACGCUAUUGAUCCCAUCACCAUUUGAUGUUAAUUUUGAUUAUUGGUGUCCGUAUAUAUUGCAUAGCGGCUUGGUACUUGGUGGUUUUAAUAAAAAUUUAAGUUGAUCGUUCAAAAUA